CUGACGUUUGUACACUCAAAGCGGAGAAUUGUUAUAUGGGAGAAGGUCGAUCCGAGCAAACAGGAAUGUCACGCUGCAGAGCAAGUAACCAAUUUAAGACUUGUGUCGAGAAGAUAAAUAAUCUGAUGUGUUCACAAUCUGGUAAAAUGGAUGUUAGUAAUUAUCUAGACAUGGCUAAAAGAGAUAUAUUGAAUUAUUGUCCAGAUAGUAGUUCCAGUGUUGUUUCACCAAAUGGUUUCUUCAUUAGUUGUAUGAUUACACUUAUGGCAGUAUUCAACUAUAGAUAAAGGAU